CAAAAACGCAGAGAUCACAACAGUCGGGUUCUCAACAUGGAGGAAAACACAGCAGUCAUUCCGACAAUAGUGUGUUGUGAACUGAUUAUCAACGAUUCCGACGACGAGGAGGAAUAUCUUACACACUGUUUAGCGUACCAUAAAUUCCCAAAUGCUGUUCCGAAGGAGAUGGUGCAUAUCCCUUAUCAGAAGUCAUGAUAACGCCAUUUAGACAAACUGGAAAUCUGAGUGCACAACAGAAGCAUUUCAAC
rnacentral:misc_RNA from 1 species